rnacentral:sRNA from 1 species
CAAAUGUUUCUUAUCAGCUAUGGGAACAGUUACAUAAGACUUAGAACAAUGCGUCGUUUCUAUACAUUCUGUGUGCUAGUAUUUACCAUAGGACUUGCUCUAACUGAAGCCCUUGACUGCACUGCCAGGUGCAACAGCGAUGAUUUCUGUCUGAUGUCCUGUAGGCUGAUAGAAAACUGGAGGAAGACGCGACAAGACUUCUCUGACCCAACCACAUGCUACAACAGCUGCAAAGGUGACCAAGCAUGUGAAGAUAUUUGUCGAAUUACAUUGGAGACAGGGAAAUAGAACUCAUGUACAUGUAUUGGUCAUAGACAAUUAAUGACUCGAUAGUACAAAAAUAAAAAAUAAACUAU